rnacentral:tRNA from 1 species
GAGGGGAUAGCUCAGUGUUAGAGUGCAUGUUAGCAUGCACAAGGUCCUGGGUUCAAUCCCCAGUACUUUUG